UGUGGAAUAGUACCUGGGGAGCUGGGGGGGUGCCGUUGAUGUCCACAUCAACGGCACCCCCCCAGCUCCCCAGGUACUAUUCGCA